UCUCCCUUCAUAGGACACAGGCAGGGGUGCUCAGUGUGCAUCCCCCCAGGCUAGGUCUUGGGAGCCAUGAAGCAGUAGGAGCGGAUUAAAAUCAUGAGGGGCAGUAAGCGCUAAAGUGGAGCGGUGACUGUCUGCUUUUACCCAGACUCUGUUCAUCGAGUCAGCCUGAGGUAGAUGGGAUGGGAGACGGACGCAGGGAUGAGGGCGUUAAUAGAGCUCUGCAUAGUGAUAGUUCUUGCUUGGCUUUAUUAGUUUGCGGCGGAAUCGUCCAGGAGCCCUCACCGGAGGAGAAACUGGCAAAGGUUGAUCUGAGCUGCCUGGACUUUAUUCUAAGGAGACAUGAACAGUCCUCAGCUUUCUGCCUCUCAUGUAAGCUGUCAGUGCUUGGAAUUCCUCAUCUGUACUGACUGUAUUCACAGCCCGUAUGGUUCCUCGUUGGGUACAGGACUCUGUGGUGUUAAGGCUGGGGAGGGGCCAGCAUCUGCUGUGCCGAGUGACCGUCGGGUACCGUUGCAAGGGCUGCUUUUUGGUUGUAAUGCUAAAGGUGUGAUGGGAAGAGUGGUGAGGGCGGAGCCCCGCCGUGUUGGAGAGGCGAAAAGAAGAGCCAAUGCGACAUUGCCCACUGAGUUGGUAACUUUUUUUUUUCCCCUUCUGCUGGUUUUAUUACCAAGGGAAAAGAAAUCUCGUGUCAGAGUCUGCUGUCCUCAUGCGAUGGAAAGCGAGUGAGAGCGAUGGGACUGCGAGAGUUAUUGAUGCCACGCAAAAGCCGUCCAACCGGGAUCAGAACAGCUGCCACUCUGCUCUUGCAGAGGAAUUGUCCAGGAGCCCUCGCUGGAGCAGAAACUGGCAGAGGUGCAUCUGAGCAGCCUGAACAUCCUUCUAAGCAGACACGAACAGUCCUCGGCUUUCUGCUUCCCGCAUAACUGGCUUACCAAGGAAAAACAAGUCACACGUCAGAGUCUACUGCCCUCACGUGAUGGAAAGU